rnacentral:rRNA from 1 species
AUUGAACGCUGGCGGCAUGCCUUACACAUGCAAGUCGAACGGCAGCACGGGAGCAAUCCUGGUGGCGAGUGGCGAACGGGUGAGUAAAGUAUCGGAACGUGCCCAGUCGUGGGGGAUAACGUAGCGAAAGUUACGCUAAUACCGCAUACAAUCUAUGGAUGAAAGCGGGGGAUCGCAAGACCUCGCGCGCUUGGAGCGGCCGAUAUCAGAUUAGGUAGUUGGUGGGGUAAAGGCUCACCAAGCCGACGAUCUGUAGCUGGUCUGAGAGGACGACCAGCCACACUGGGACUGAGACACGGCCCAGACUCCUACGGGAGGCAGCAGUGGGGAAUUUUGGACAAUGGCGAAAGCCUGAUCCAGCCAUGCCGCGUGCAGGAUGAAGGCCUUCGGGUUGUAAACUGCUUUUGUACGGAACGAAAAGGUUUGGCCUAAUAAGCUGAGCUCAUGACGGUACCGUAAGAAUAAGCACCGGCUAACUACGUGCCAGCCGCCGCGGUAA